rnacentral:ncRNA from 2 species
GGAUCACCGGCGGGAGAGUCCUCGGGAACAACCGGGGCGCCGAAGGAGCAAGUACCCCGCACACUCUCAGGCAACGGGAACCGCCGGGGUGAG